UUUAGAGUGAUUUACAUUGCAGGUCACAUUUGGAGUUAUUAUAACAUAAUCAGUCACUUUAUGCUUCUAAAGUACUUUUGUGUGAGAAAAAGACAACCAAACCCUCAGCUUAUUAUAAUACAUAACAAAUCAAACCAAUUUUGAUUUAUUGCCGUGUCUAUUUUUAUUGCCAGGAUUUCAAAAUUCACAAGUCAAAGUUUAACUCUUUCUUUUAAUUACAACCACACAAAUAUAAAAUUGCUUUUUACUUUCUUUAUCUUCUUGUAUCUUUUUACUUCCUCCAUUUUUUUUGACCAUAAGCCAUGGCUCCGAGCCUCGGACGAAUUGAUGUCAUACGCCAUGGCUCCGACUAAUUCUACCAUGAACGACAAAAAGAAGUGUGGCGUCUCUCCCAUAACAAGCAGCCAAACCUUAAAUGCAGUGGCCUACUGAUAGCAACGAGACGGUGGAUUUGAGCCAAGGUUAAUAAAGGUUACUCAAGGGUUUUCCAGCAUCUUGCAUUCUUGCUCGUUUUAUGUUUUAUGAAGGGGUAAGGAUGUUGGUGAAGAUUUAGUGUAGUUCCAUAUUAUUUUCAUGAAGCUAUGUUGUACACAUGUACACCAAAUGACUACUGAAUUUUUAUGUUAACCUCUAUGAGGUGCUAUCCACGUGUACACUAACAUUUUGAGACAGACAAAAUUCUUAUAUCUACAUGUUUUGGAUGGA